UGGUCAUUUUGUGUGCGGUUACAGGAGGAAAAAACAGUAACAGAACUAGAUGAAGAAGACAAAGAACUCAUCAAAUCAAUCACUUUCAGAAACUUAGAAGAUUAUGUUAAACGGAUCGAAGACGACGGUGACAAUGAUGAAGAUUUUUAUAUACCAGGACAGUCAAGUGUCCCGUGAAAGAUAAAUAGAUAAUCUUGCUAUGCAUGGUUGGAGGCAAUCUGUUGAUUUUUGAUAUCUGGAGGACAGUAGUGGGUAAAAAUGCCAAUAAUGUAGAUCAUUGUCAUAUGCCUCUAUCGAAAUUGACUUAUAAUAAGGAGUGUGGAAAGAAAUUGUUGAGCAUAAAAAGGCGACCUACAAUAGUG